GCUUUGAAAGAUUAGGCCUAGCAAAUGAACGGCAAUUAUGCAGUAAUAAUGACUCCAUUUUCUCAUUUUUAUUAAUAAAACACACAUGGGACGUGCCACUCAGCGCUUUGGCUGAGAGAAAACGAGUUUCCCCACUCGGUGAAUAGAAUUCCACCCAGAGGCAGCCAGUUAACAAACCACCUUCUGGGCUCGGCUCAGCUGGGAAUCACUUGCUGCGCUUGACAGCCCUUUCCAGGGGCCUCCAUAGAGCCGGCUGCCUGCCCUGGUCUCUGAAGUCAGAGGAGACAGGGCCCAUUUCAGCUGCUCCCGGCUGGCCUGUCCAUCCCCGCUGGAAUCAGCAGACCCUGACUUCUGGAGAAGCGUUCCUGUGAUGUGUCAGCUGCUCCGGGAGAGCCCAGAGUGAUGGAUUCCAAGACCUGUCAGGAGAAGGGGAUCACGAUGAAGACACUGAGGUUCAGAGAUGUUCAGCGAUUUCCCCCGAGUCACAGGGAGCAGGUUUCUCUUCUUCCAGACCUGCACCAUGACACCUGAUGGAUUUUUCUCUCCAGAACAUCCCUGGGAAUCAUUUCUGUCAGAUGCUUCACUGGAUGUCCCUUGGUUUUUACGCUCAUCUAUCCCCUUCUCCUCGAACCCCACCUCCCUGAAAUGGCAAUUUGCUAUUUUAAUUAUAGUUUCUCUUGCCGCACUUGAGGCUUUUUUCCUAUUGCGCUCCUCUACCUUGCUUAGAUUUUUAUCCUUUCUUCCAGGGCAGAGAAUUCAUUAAGAUUUCUAGAUUCCUCCAAUUUGCUUCCUUGAUGGUGAAUAAUUCUUCUUAGACUGUGUACAAUUCUGAUUGUUCAGAUGCUGAAUUAGGUGGCUGAGCAGCGGGACCAGGGUGCCCCGUGUGAACUGGUGGCCCCAUCCAAGUGCAGACUGAAUCAAUGCCCCAGAGCUGUGAGUCCCUGGGUCUGUCUGGAGUCCUGCAAUGGACCAUCUCCGAGACCUGAGGGGUGGCCCUAUGACAGCUGACCACAGGCCUCUGCCUCCUUUGCCAACAGGUGAGGGGUCCCAGGACUGUCUCUGGGUUCCAUGAGUUGCUCCUUGCAGGCUGGGCUGGGCUGGCCUUGACCAUAAACCAUCUGGGUCACCUGCAGCUGUUCCCCAGGUGCUUGCUGGGCCUGUGGGCUGAGGCUGCAGCUGGAAAUGAGUCUGGGCAGGAAGUGAACAGGGAAGUAGCUCAUGUGACCGGGAAGCUGAUGAGGCCUCCCAGCGAAGGGAGCACCAGAAAGCAGUUCUCCAAGGCAUUCCAGGCAUAGAAGCUGAGCCACUCACCACAGAGGGGGGCCACUUGAAAGCUGCUGCCCAUCCUGUUUACGCUCACAAACCUGCUCCUGUUCUCUCCUUCAGGAAGGUAUGUAGGUCAGUACUGGUGAAGGUCAUUUGCUGUGGGAGUGUGUAAACGUCAACUUUGAGCCUGGCUCAGUCAGAAACACGGGGUGCUCCAAGGUGACUUCAAAGUCCUGGGGAGAGCAUGGCACACUGAUAGCUGUGUAACCCGGGUGGGUCCCAUUACCGCCUGACCCUCAGGGCUGACAGAAUAUGAGGUCCCCGAAAGGCCGGUCAUGGGCCACACAGAUAUGAUUCCACGGGCGAGGACAGGCAAGGGACGUCAUCCUCCUGUUUGGGCCUUGCUCGCCUCAGUCUGUAAGGGAUUCAAGGCAAGAGACCCAGCUGGAAAAUGAAAAAAGGAAAAACAUUGAGAUCCUAAAGCAUAAGAUAAGGUCUGAGAUUGUCUCCAAUGGGAAUAAAGGAAUUAACAGGAGGGUGACCUGUAAAGCC
rnacentral:lncRNA from 1 species